rnacentral:rRNA from 1 species
CAUGCAAGUCGAACGAAAGUUUUUAACUUUAGUGGCGAACGGGUGCGUAAUACGUGAGAAUCUGCCCUUAGGAGGAGUAUAACUGCUGGAAACGGCUGCUAACACUCCAUAUGUCGAGAGAUGAAAUAAUUUAUUGCCUAAGGAUGAGCUCGCGCCUGAUUAGCUAGUUGGUGAGGUAAUGGCUCACCAAGGCCACGAUCAGUAGCUGGUUUGAGAGAACGAUCAGCCACACUGGGACUGAGACACGGCCCAGACUCCUCCGGGAGGCAGCAGUGAGGAAUUUUCCGCAAUGGGCGAAAGCCUGACGGAGCAAUACCGCGUGAGGGAUGAAGGAUUUUGGUCUGUAAACCUCUUUUCUCAAGAAAGAAGUUCUGACGGUACUUGAGGAAUAAGCAUCGGCUAACUCCGUGCCAGCAGCCGCGGUAAUACGGGGGAUGCAAGCGUUAUCCGGAAUCAUUGGGCGUAAAGCGCCUGUAGGUUGUUUAAUAAGUCUGUUGUUAAAGACUAGGGCUUAACCCUAGAAAAGCAAUGGAAACUACUAGACUAGAGUAUGGCAGGGGUAGAGGGAAUUUCUAGUGUAGCGGUGAAAUGCGUAGAUAUUAGAAAGAACACCGGUGGCGAAAGCGCUCUACUGGACCAUUACUGACACUCAGAGGCGAAAGCUAGGGUAGCAAAAGGGAUUAGAUACCCCUGUAGUCCUAGCCGUAAACGAUGGAUACUACAUGUUGUGUUUUUUAUACAGUAUGGUAGCUAACGCGUUAAGUAUCCCGCCUGGGGAGUACGCUC